rnacentral:rRNA from 1 species
UUUAAUUGAUGACUUGUAUGAAGGAUUGGAUGAAAUAUAAACUGUCUCUUAAUUAUAUUUAGAAUUUAAUUUUUUAAUUAAAAAGUUAAAAUAAAUUAGAAAGACGAGAAGACCCUAUAGAGUUUUAUAAGUAAAAUUAAUUGAGAUUAUUUGUAAAGGUUAAGAUUAAGAUUAAUUUAUUUAUUUUGUUGGGGUGACAGAAAAAUAUGAAAAACUUUUUAUAUGUUUAAAACAUUAAUAAGUGGUUAAAUGAUCCAAUAUUAUUGAUUAUAAGAAAAAAUUACCUUAGGGAUAACAGCGUAAUUUUUUUUUUUAGUUCACAUAAAAAAAAAA